rnacentral:rRNA from 1 species
UACGUAGGUGGCAAGCGUUGUCCGGAAUUAUUGGGCGUAAAGCGCGCGCAGGCGGUCUUUUAAGUCUGAUGUGAAAGCCCACGGCUCAACCGUGGAGGGUCAUUGGAAACUGGGGGACUUGAGUACAGAAGAGAAGAGUGGAAUUCCACGUGUAGCGGUGAAAUGCGUAGAGAUGUGGAGGAACACCAGUGGCGAAGGCGACUCUUUGGUCUGUAACUGACGCUGAGGCGCGAAAGCGUGGGAGCAAACAGG